GAUCAGUGCUCAUUCUUGAUUUCAGCAGUUGAUCUGCCUUCGGAGGUUUCCUUAGCUGACUGUCCAAACUCUUUCUUGCGAUCUCAGAACAGCUACAAGCUCUAUGCUCAUCAUCUGUAGCUAUAGUUUCAGAUUGGCUGGGUAAAGUUCAAGGUUACAGUGGCCACCACCAUCUAUCCAAAGAGGGUCAUAUUUGUUUUUGCUAAGCUCCCAAAGCUGCUUCCCGUGCAACCAAUCCACAACUUCAUCUGCAGUACCCUUCCAGAAGGAUGUAAACAAGGCGAUGGUUAUUUUUCUAGAUCCACCAAAAACGUUCAGAAAAGACAACAUAUCAUAUUGGUAACUCAGCUUUUUACUGUUGUCACAGUUCUGUAUGGUAGUUCAUCUAUUAGAUUAAAAUAACAAAUCAGUGAUAGCUGCAAUGACCUACAAAGUUUUAUCUGGAGCA